rnacentral:lncRNA from 1 species
UUCCCAACAUCUUCAAGUGUCCCUGUGCCGUUUCGAAAGUCCCAAAACAAUUCAAUCCGUUCGAGCACGCGAGGAGUUUCCCAGUUUUCCCAACCGAUCAUGGCAUCUCCUCAGAGUCCUUCCAUCUUCCCUGUUUCUUCCCAGCUCAUCCACAAAUCCAGCGGCUGUGAGGAGUCUUCUCAACACCCCAACGGUCAUCUUCUUCCACACUUCCCAGCCGCAUCCCAACCGAUCAUGGCAUCUCAAGCGUUGUGGCAUCAACCGGCCACAUGGCUUCUUGUCUUCCAACGGAUCAUUCCAAGCAACAGUGGAAGCAUCCCAGCAGCCGAAGAUCCCAGGCGAUUCAACUUCAUCUACCCCAUGUUUCAUCCAUUCCCAAAUUUCUACAACGUUUCCAGUUGAAGAAUCCCAAGCGAUUCAACUUCAUCCCGCAUCUCAAGCAACCGGAUCAUCCCCAAACCUCCACGCGUCUCACCAGCCGCGCCUUCAACAUGCUAUAAAAAGGGGAGCCAUCCGGUGAAGAAGGAGGGGACGGGAGGGAGAAAGCAGCCGGGAGA